rnacentral:rRNA from 1 species
AUUGAACGCUGGCGGCAGGCCUAACACAUGCAAGUCGAACGAGUGGCGGACGGGUGAGUAAUGUCUGGGAAACUGCCCGAUGGAGGGGGAUAACUAAUGGAAACGGUAGCUAAUACCGCAUACCAUCGGAUGUGCCCAGAUGGGAUUAGCUAGGAGGUGGGGUAAUGGCUCACCUAGGCGACGAUCCCUAGCUGGUCUGAGAGGAUGAACAGCCACACUGGAACUGAGACACGGUCCAGCCUCCUACGUGAGGCAGCAGUGGGGAAUAGUGCACAAUGGGCGCAAGCCUGAUGCAGCCAUGCCGCGUGUAUGAAGAAGGCCUUCGGGUUGUAAAAUACUUUCAGCGGGGAGGCGUUACCCGCAGAAGAAGCACCGGCUAACUCCGGGCCAGCAGCCGCGGUAAUAC